CCUACGGGGGGCUGCAGUGGGGAAUAUUGGACAAUGGGGGCAACCCUGAUCCAGCCAUGCCGCGUGUGUGAAGAAGGCCCUCGGGUUGUAAAGCACUUUCAGUGAGGAAGAACGCCUGGUGGUUAAUACCCAUCAGGAAAGACAUCACUCACAGAAGAAGCACCGGCUAACUCCGUGCCAGCAGCCGCGGUAAUACGGAGGGUGCGAGCGUUAAUCGGAAUUACUGGGCGUAAAGGCGCGCGUAGGUGGCUUGAUAAGCCGGUUGUGAAAGCCCCGGGCUCAACCUGGGAACGGCAUCCGGAACUGUCAAGCUAGAGUGCAGGAGAGGAAGGUAGAAUUCCCGGUGUAGCGGUGAAAUGCGUAGAGAUCGGGAGGAAUACCAGUGGCGAAGGCGGCCUUCUGGACUGACACUGACACUGAGGUGCGAAAGCGUGGGUAGCAAACAGGAUUAGAUACCCGGGUAGUC
rnacentral:rRNA from 1 species